rnacentral:rRNA from 1 species
ACGCUCGACACCUACGGGAUGCAGCAGUUGGGAAUAUUGGACAAUGGAGGAAACUCUGAUCCAGUGACGCCGCGUGAAGGAAGAAGGUCUUCGGAUUGUAAACUUAUUUUGUCAGGGAAGAAAAAAUGACUGUACCUGAAGAAAAAGCACCGGCUAACUACGUGCCAGCAGCCGCGGUAAUCUGAGGCGGGCUGGCAAGGC